UUAGCAUACGAUGUCCUUUUUUCAUAAAGGUGCAUUGACGUCCUUAACCUUAUGCAGAAUAUCAUUUAGAUUAUCAUCUUAAUAAAUUCUUUGUCUGCAGUACUUUCGUGAUGAACUUGGCAAUAUGGAUGGAAAGCACUGUUGGUCAUCAAGAAAGAAGCCUUUCACGUGUUUAAUGUUUCGUCUCAAAAAAGCUAAGCUUAUUGGUUUAGUAAAGUCUAGAGUUGACGACUACUUGACUUUCAUACAAUUUAUACUGAUGAACGCAAGAGCGCUCCAAAAGAUGGUCAUCGAUGCACAAAUGAGAGGUUAAAACUGGCAAAAGGAAUUUACCCAAUUUCCAAGAUCCUCUCCUGAUGCAGUAGUUAUGUUCUGCCAGUGAAAUGGGCAACUAGAUGCUUGCAGACGCGUUUAAAGACUGAAUGUUGUUGGAUUUAUGGGAGAUAAGGGCAGGCUCAAACUUUUCUCAUACACUCCGCUUAAUAUGCGAAGAUGUCAAUACCGGUGUUACGAAGGGGCAGGUUUGAAAGUGUCGACAUCUCUGAAGUUAGCAAAAAAUUGUUUAGUUCUCCAAGAACCACUUUUGAUGGAGGAACUAUGUUCGCUUAGCGACACCUUGAGUUUCCUUUGAUGAUGGAAUUGCAUAUGUUUCAGUUGUUGUUCUGUAAUGCUUCUUGUCUGAGGAAAUUGACCUUGGGACAGCCGUACUGGAAAGCAAAGAAGCAGUGUACUGAAAGCAAAUUCAAGAAAA